rnacentral:rRNA from 1 species
CCCUUAGAUGUUCUGGGCUGCACGCGCGCUACACUGAAGCGUUCAACGAGUAUUCACCUUGCCCGGAAGGCCUGGGUAAUCUUGUUAAACUCUGUCGUGCUGGGGAUAGAGCAUUGCAAUUAUUGCUCUUGAACGAGGAAUGCCUAGUAAGCGCGUGUCAUCAGCACGCGUUGAUUACGUCCCUGCCCUUUGUACACACCGCCCGUCGCUACUACCGAUUGAAUGGCUCAGUGAGGCCUUCGGACUGGCUCGGAGAGGUUGGAAACGACCAUUCCGAGCCGGGAAGUCGGUCAAACUCGGUCAUUUAGAGGAAGUAAAAGUCGUAACA